GUUUUCCGCGCCGUAGCUAACGCAUUAAGUGCCCCGCCUGGGGAGUACGGCCGCAAGGCUAAAACUCAAAGGAAUUGACGGGGGCCCGCACAAGCGGUGGAGCAUGUGGCUUAAUUCGAUGCAACGCGAGGAACCUUACCUGGGCUAAAUUCACAGUGCUAUCUCUGGAAACAGGGAGUCCCUUCGGGGCGCUAUGGAAGGUGCUGCAUGGCUGUCGUCAGCUCGUGCCGUGA
rnacentral:rRNA from 1 species